rnacentral:lncRNA from 1 species
CGGAAAACCAUAAGCCAAACAUAUGCAGUCGCACGUAUACAUAUAUGCUAAGACAUACACGUGUUCGAACCUACACAUACAAAUACGAACAUACGCACACACACACACACAGACAUAUGCAUGCAAUACACGGCUUUUAACAAACAGACGGAGAAACAGAUAAUUUUACUGCACUAAAUACUAAAAGUUUACACACACACACACACACACACACACAGGCUCAUACAUUUGCACACACACACAUACAUACAUGUUUGCACAAACACACAUAUACACUUUCGCACACAUAGCUAUUAUACAACCGUCCACGCAAACAUAGGUCGCACACAACACAUACACCUACGUACACGUCCACACAUAGAGAAAGAUGUCUACAUUAAAAACAAGCAUUUAUCUUCUCCCCUCUUUCGCUCCGGCUUAAUUUUCGCUUGUCCGUCUGAUUGAAAAGUAAUGUGGAAGUAACGAAAAGAAACAAAUAGUAAUCAUAACUAUAAUAAUAAUAACAAUAAUAAUAGUAAUAAUAAUAAUAAACGAAGAGAGCAAAAUGAACAGCUGGCAAUGACUGCAUCGUAAGUACAAACAUUUAACACUCUAACUCCAUAACGCGCGCGAGUAUGAAUGCGCGUGUGCGUGUGUCUGUGCGUGCGUGAGUGUAAUUUUUCUUUUCUUUCUAUCUUUCUUUCUAUGUCUCUUUUCUUUUCUUUUCUUCUCUCAUUGUUCUUCAUUUGCAAAUAUUGUUUGACGCAGACGAUCAUAUCUCGUUCUUUUCUUUUUCCUUUUUUUUCUCCUUUAUUCCUUGUAUUCUUUCCGUGAGUUAAAUCCGCGUGGAAUGUUUAUAUCGUUUAAUGGAUAUACACGGGCUGUUGGAUAGCAAACAUGCGAUGUUCCUCGCGUCCCUUUAAAGUUCCGCGUUCAAACCUAGCCCGGGUUCUGCGGUACCUUUUAACCUUCCGGAGUUCGAUACAUACAAAUACCAGUAAAAGACCGUGGUCGAGUGAAUUCCAUGGUUUUCUCCCCUAUAAAUUGUAGCUGCGUGUCAAUAUUAUACAAAAAUCAAUAUUAAUAAUAGCUAGCAAGGAAAGGCAGUCAAAUAGUAGAAUGAAAGGACAACAUGCAAAAUAUCUUGCAGUAUUAAUUUACACCCCCUUACGUUCCGUGUUCAAAUCUCAGCCGUGGCAGACUUUAUAUAUCAUUUUGGUGCAUUCGACGAAAUAAUUACCAGUUAUAUAUUGCGGUUUGAUUUAAUUGGUAACAAUCAUCCGUCAUAAUUUGUGGUUUUGUGACCAAUAUAAAGAAGUUAAUAUCUAUGGUUGUUACUGAUAUUAGUCUUUAACUCGCGGGUUAACUCCGAAUGAGCAUAUCUACGAUUAAAAGCAUUCCAGCCGUGAGAAUAGCGUCAUUUUUUUUUUGUUCUUUUUCAGCCAUAGCUUAUUCAGGACUACCUCAUGUAAUGUGUUUUUUCCCCAACCCCUUAAAGACUGUAGAGACGCAUGUUGGAAAAGAUUUAACUGCUACUUCUAGCAUGUCCAACGCUCGCGCAGAGGCUUUCUGUCUCUCUCUCUCUCUUUCUCUCACUCUUGAUAUCAAUAGAUAACAGUGAAAGGUGGUGAUUGGAUAACAAUUCGGUAGAGCGGCUGACAUGGUACCUUGCGGAAUUUAUUACAACAAUUUACGUUCCGAGUUCAAAUACCGUUACAGGCUACUGAGAUGGCAGUACGAAUACAACACCUUAAAAAAGUAUUUAGUUUCCAACUUCUUCCUGAGUUUUGUACUUGACUGAUGGUAUUUCAUUAUUCGGACCCGGAAGUACUAGAAGCAAAACUAACCUUUAAUAAUAAUUCUUUCCACUUUAUUUGCCAACAGGGCCCAUUCAUUCAUACAAUGACAUGUAAACAAACGGGUUAGAAAUAUGUGAUGAUAAACAAAAACAAAGUUAUCUAUAAAAGCAAAGUGAUGCGGAUGCAGAAAUUAUGCAAUGUAUUAAGACAUGUUAGCUUUUUUAAUGAUACAAAUAGUUACAAUUAAAUGAUUGUUAAUAAUUAAGAGACCCUUUUUUUUUUUAGAUAAAUUUAUAUUCAAGUACUUGGGUCAAUAUGAUUGACUACAAUCGCUCAGCUUUAUGUUUUUGAUAGAAAUCAUCGUAGUUUAUCAUUGGUAGGGUGUCGAACAAAAUGAUCUGCUGUAUUUGGUUACUUACGUCCCUUUAUAUUCCGAGUUCAAGUCUUACCUGUGUCUUCUCGUGCCCUUCAACAAUACGACUUGUGGAGGAAUGUCGGCAUAAGGAAUACCAGUAAUUUACCUGGGUCGAUUUAAUUAAGUCUUCCUUCGCCCACAAAACGCGCGUCCGUGUGCGUAUUACGUUCGCAAUAAUUCCUCAUUAUAAGGUGCGGGCUUGGUAGAGUUGCGAGAGUGCAGGGUAAAAAUGCUGUCUAGUUAUUUGCCCUGGUCCUCUUCGAUUUGGGUUCAAAUCCUGUCGAGUUCAACUUUGUCUUUUAUCAUCCCGGUGGAUUUCCAGAACUUUCUAGCAUAGGACAUGCACUUGUCUGUUCUGUUUACAUUCUUAGUUCAAAUUCCACCGAUGGCCAGUCUAAUCCUCCAACGAUGGGGCCACUAUUGAUUAUAUAAUAGAAAGCUUGUAGGUGGAGCCACUACUCUAAGCUAUGGUUUUCAACUUUGGCAUAAGCAUUCGCAUAAGGGAGUUGUGGGCGCACAAGGGGCAGGAAAUAUCAGAGAGCUGCUGUGAGGAUUCCCGUGAUUAAAUGAUGGGGUUUUUUUUUUAGAAAUAAAAUAUUUAAAUCAGGUAGAAAACUUAUAUUCUAAACACAUUUUCGGAAAAAAAACAUUCUUAGUUAAACAUUGUAUCGUCUUUGAGUAGAAAAAUGACUGAUAAUGCCCCAUGGUCCAAUAUAAUUUCAUUAUUUGUAUGCUUUCCCAGUAUAUUUGUUGAAAGCGGCAAGAAUGGCUCAAGCGAACCCUCACUGAACCCGGGCUCGUAGACUGAAGAGAACGGUUGGAAGAAAAGUGCCUGUCGAUGGUGGGGUAUUUCAGGAUCUGUAGGGUUCCAUUUUUGCCCCUAAUUGUUACUCCCACUAUUGGAAAUUUUGUUAUUGUUCUUUUUAUUGUUUACACGUAUAUAAAUCCUUACUGUACUUUGUUUGUAUUGUCCUAAAUAGUUCGUUAUUAUAAUCUUCAAAUUAUUGGGAAUUAUGUGGAUUGGGCCUUGGAGAAAAUUCCUUGUUGAACUUCCUCCGGCUCUUAACUUUCUGAAUCAAAGUCUGCUGGAGUCAAGUUUGCCUUUCACCUUUUCAGGGUUGAUAAAAUAAAGAACCUGUCAAGUAUUGGGGUCGAUGGUAUCAACUUAUCCACUCACCACUUAAACUUUAUAUCAAAAACAAUUCUGAGAACGAUUAUAAUUUUGCGUUUGCAAAACAUGGAAAACUGGUUGUAAAAGUGUCAUUCGGCGGAAGGUUUUUUUUUGGGUGGGGGGCUAGAAAUUGAAGUUAAAGGGGAAACAAUCGUGACUGAAACUGUAGGAUGAUGUUAAGACAUUUACUAUUUUAGCAAAAAUGUGUUCAUUGUCGCUAGUACAGAUGUGGUAGUUGUAGUGUCGAUUUUAGUCCCUGGUCCAACCACAUGAAUUCCAAAAGGAUUUCAGCAAUUUUAGGCGCACGCAUGGGCGUGUGGUUAAAAAGAUCGUUUUGCAGCCACGUGGUUUCAGAUGCACUCCUACAUGGCACCUUGAGCAAGUAUCUUUUACUCUAGCCCCCAGGCUGAUCAAAGCCUCGUGAGUGAAUUUGGCUGACGGAAACUGUGAAAGUCUGCGAGCUGGCAGAAUCGUUAGCACGCCAGACGAAAUGCUUAGCGGUAUUCGUCUACCGUUACGUUCUGAGUUCAAAUUCCGCCGAGGUCGACUUUGUCUUUCAUCCUUUCGGGGUCGAUAAAUUAAUAGUUGCGCACUGGGGUUGAUGUAAUCGGCUUAAUCCGUUUGUCUGUCCUUAUUAGUCACUUCUGUGUUUAGCCCCUUGUGGGUAGUAAAGAAAUAGGUAUUUCGUCUUCCGCUACGUUCUGAGUUCAACUUCCGCCGGGGUCGAGUUUGCCUUUCUUCCUUUCGGGGUCGAUAAAUUAAGUACCAGUUACGCACUGGGGUCGAUGUAAUCGACUUAAUCCGUUUGUCUGUCCUUGUUUGUCCCCUCUGUGUUCAGCCCCUUGUGGGCAAUAAAGAAAUAGGAAACUGUGAAAGUCUGUCGUGUAUAUGUAUAUAUGUGUGUGUCCCUGUGCUUGUAAGUGGAUGUGACUGUACACAAUACCGCUUGACAACCGGUGUUGGUUUGUUCACAACUUCGUAACUUAGUGGUUUGUCGAACGGAUUCAAUAGAAUAAAACCAUAAUUAAAAACAUUGGGGUCGGAUAUAUUUGAUUAAUAUACUCCAAAGUGAUGCCUCAGCAUGGCCGCAGUCUAAGUAAAAGAUAAGAGAUAAAAGACGACCAGACUAUUUUUUAAAAUGAAUAUUAAGACUAAGACCAUAGUUUGUUUAAAGGGGCAGCAGCGGUGGGGUGUAAUUGGAGGAAUAUUUGGUUACUAUUUCAUGUAGGUUCGGUGGUCACAUAGACGUUCUCAUGUAGGAUCGUCGUCGUCGUUCGAUGGUGUUGAUUGCUGACUGUCGUGUUUAGAAGCUGUUGCAGAAAGAAAAUAGACAGAAAAAUAUUGUAAUCGCAAAAGGAGAAAUUCGUGUGAAGUUUGCAUUGAAGCAGAUGAGGUGAAUUUUCGCACUCCUACUUUCAAUAGCAUUUAUUCGCCACACCUAUCAAGUGAUAUGUAGAGAGGAACCAUCUAGGGUGUCUCUAACAUGGUGUACAGCGGAGACGGAGACGUCUAUGGAGAGUCUACAUUGGCGCUUAACCUGCUGAAAUAGCAGUCGAAUCUUCCUCUAAUCGUAUACUACAAUCUAAGGCGUUAUGUUGAUAUUAUUCAUAGUUCUAGGUUCAAAUUGAAUGAAUGA